rnacentral:rRNA from 1 species
CCCUUAGAUGUCCUGGGCCGCACGCGUGCUACACUGAUACGUACAAAGAGUACUUCUGCUCCGAAAGGCAGCGGAUAAUCUGCAAUACGUAUCGUGAUGGGGAUAGAUCCUUGUAAUUAUGGAUCUUGAACGAGGAAUUCCUAGUAAGUGCAAGUCAUUAGCUUGCGCUGAUUAAGUCCCUGCCCUUUGUACACACCGCCCGUCGCUUCUACCGAUUGAGUGGUCCGGUGAGCCUUUUGGAUCGCCAGCAAUGGCGAGAAAUCAAGCAAACCUUAUCACUUAGAGGAAGAACAAGUCGUAACA